CAGUCGCCGCGGGAAUACAGAGGGUGCGAGCGUUAAUCGGAUUUACUGGGCGUAAAGCGUGCGUAGGCGGCUUCUUAAGUCGGAUGUGAAAUCCCUGAGCUUAACUUAGGAAUUGCAUUCGAUACUGGGAAGCUAGAGUAUGGGAGAGGAUGGUAGAAUUCCAGGUGUAGCGGUGAAAUGCGUAGAGAUCUGGAGGAAUACCGAUGGCGAAGGCAGCCAUCUGGCCUAAUACUGACGCUGAGGUACGAAAGCAUGGGGAGCAAACAGGAUUAAAUACCCCCGUAGUCCCUGUCUCUUAUAC
rnacentral:rRNA from 1 species